rnacentral:RNase_P_RNA from 1 species
UGGGUAUAAAAGAUGGCCGCGCAGCAGUGGCUGAUGAAAGCCGUGUGCUGUGAGGUAAAGUCCGGGCUCCGCCGGAAAUGAUGCCGGGUAAUCACCGGGGGGCGGUUCUGCCGCCUACAGAAAGUACUACAGAAAAUAACCGCCCUGUACAGUUGUGCCGGGUAAGGGUGAAAAGGCAGGGUAAGAGCCUACCGCAUCGCUGGUAACAGGGAUGGCACAAGCAAACCUCAUCAGGAGCAAGAUUAUGCAGCGGCUUGGCAUUCCGGCCUUAUGCCGCGGGUAAAUCGCUGGAGGUAGCCGGCAACGGAUACCGCAGAUAGAUGGCCACCUAAUCCAAAACCCGGCUUAUUUUUAUAUCCUUUUU